GGUUGAUUCUGCCAGCCUAGUUUGCUAGUUGAGUGCGACUAAGCCAUGCAAGUUAAAUGUAUCCGAAUGGGGGUACAUGGCGAACUGCUCAGUAACAGGUGGACAACAUACUCUUCGGACCGGGAUAACCAGGAGAAAUUCUGGAUAAUACCGGAUAGAUGACUUUGGCUGGAAGGCUCUGUCAUCCAAUGGGUUCUGACCCUAAGUCAGCGCCGCCGAAGAAUUGGUCUGCCCCCGAUUAGCUAGAUAGCGGUGUAAUUGACCACUAUGGCUAUGAUCGGUAGGGGUCAUGUAAGUGUGAGCCCCGAGAUGGACACUGAGACAAUGGUCCGAUUCCUACGGGAAGCAGCAGGCGCGAAACCUUUACAAUGCACGAAAGUGUGAUAAGGGUACUCAACGUGGUCGGGGUAUAAGCCCUGACCUGUGUUUGAACGCAAAGCGUUCAGAUAGAAAGGAGAGGGCAAGGCCAGUGCCAGCCGCCGCGGUAACACUGGCUCUUCAAGUGAACUGGAUGAUUAUUGAGGUUAAAGCGUCCGUAGCCGGAUUAGUUAGUCUUUGGUGAAAUCCACGCGCUUAACGCGUGGGAGUGCUAAGGAUACUGCUAAUCUUGGGAGUAGGAGAAGUGGGCGGUACGUUAUUGUUAGGGGUGAAAUCCGCAGACCAAUAACGGACCACCAGUGGCGAAGGCGGCCCACUAGAAUAUGUCCGACGGUGAGGGACGAAAGCCAGGGGAGCAAAACGGAUUAGAGACCCGUGUAGUCCUGGCCGUAAACGAUACCUGCUAACUGUGUGGUCGGCUCUGAGCUGGCCACGUGGUGGAGCGAAAGCGUUAAGCAGGUCCCUUGGGAAGUACGCCGGCAACGGUGAAACUUAAAGAAAUUGACGGGGGCCUUCCGAACCGGUGAAGCCUGCGGCUUAAUUGGACCCAACACCAGAAAGCUUACCGCCUGCACCGCAACGAAUGAAGACCAGACUGAUGAUCUUGUCUGACUUGUGUAAUGUCGUGCAUGGCCACCACCAGUUCUUGCUGUGAAGUUUGCUAUUAAUUUAGUUAAAGGACGCAAUCGACACCCUUAUUUGCCAACGUGAGGCUUCGGCUUCGACGGGAACUAUAAGGGGACUGCCAUCUCAAGGUGGAGGAAGGUGUCGGCUAAAGUAGGUCUAUAUGCGCAUGGAUCAGGCGGGCUGCACGCGGGCUGCAUUUGAACCCACAAUGGGCUGCGACUCUGAAAGGAGGAGCUAAUCCCUAAAAGGUUUAUCGGUCUGGAUCGGGGCUUGUAACCAGCCCCGUGAAAUUGGAAUCGGUAGUAAUCGCGUUUCAGUAAAACGCGGUGAAUACGGAGAAAGGCCUUGUACACACCGCCCGUCGCUGCACUCGAAUCGGCGUAUGCGAAUUGCAGUCCUUUGGGCUGUCGUGAACAUUCAAUGGUAAGAGGGCAGAAGUCGUAACAAGGU
rnacentral:rRNA from 1 species